AAGUAAAUGCCUAUAUUUAACAUUACAAUUUUAAAUUAAAGAUUUAAAACUUAUUUUUUAUUAAAAUGGUACAUAUAGGAAUAUCAUAGUAUGCAAAGAAUUCCAGAAUUCUGUAGUAUUAUGUAGUCAAUCUUUUUUAAUUCAUUAUUAUUAUUAUUUUGCAGGCUGCCUAUUCAGUGGUUUAACAGCCAGUCAGGCCAGCUGCAACAUAGACCACACCAAGAUGCCGAACUAACAUUUAUUGUCCAAGUAAGAAAAUAUGGGCUAUGGCUUUACAUGGGUUUGAUCCAGGAUAUAACCAUAGAUUUAAUUUAAUAUAUUAUUAAUUAAAUUUCUACAAUAUUUGUCAGUGACCUAUUCCACCAUCCCCUAACUUUUCAGUAUAGAUACUUAUUUUAAAAUUCCAGACUUUCAAAAGUUUUAUAUUUUACAGCUUAAGAGCUGUUUUGUUAGUUUAGAUUUUUAAUUUAUAACUAUGAAAUACUAUUUAUAGACUUACUUUUAUGUAUAAUAAAAGAAAUAAACAUAUUUUAUUAAAAAAAAAAAACAAAUAAACUUGAAUAAUGUACCAAUACAAUCAAUAAAAAAAAAAAAGUUUGGACUCAACACUUGCAUAUAAAUAUGUAAUUCAAAACAAACUGUUUUGAUUUUCAACAUUUGAUACUUACAAUUAUUUUCAAAAAGUUUAUUAGUUUUGACAUACUGUGAUUGUUAUAUUCAUAGGGUCGUGGUGUUCUUGUCUAUUGAUUAUGUAAAUAUGUGCUAAUGUUUAAAUUUACUCGGUGAUGUUAAGAUAUAUAGGAAAAGAAUCAAAAAAGCUAAUAAAAUAAUAAAUUAAAAAUAAAAUUAUUAAAAUGGCCAAUACUCUUAAAUACAUAUAUAAAUAAAAAAUUCAUAUAUAAAACUAAAAAAUGAAUGAAUGCGUCGCCUGGAGUAUUAUGAUAAGUGUAUUUUAUGACCGGUUUCGAAUUUAAAAUAUUCAUCAAGUAUAUCACAUUUAAAAUGUAAAACGAGAUUGAAUAUAAAAAAAUUAAAGAAAGGAAUACAUAGAAAAAAAAAUUAUACAAGGUCGUUUUACAUAGAAAUAAUUUAUUUUAAUAGUACAGAUUGUUUAACAUGUGUUAUUAUUAGACAUAAAUAUAUUAAAAAUAUAAAUUAUUUGGUUAUUAUUUGUUAUCUGAAAUAUAUUAAUAAUAAGGUAUUAUUUUUAAAGUCUGUUUGUAAAUUUAAAAUAUCAAAAUUAUUUUUCUUUAUUUCAUGUUGUAUAUUUAAUUCUUCUAAAAUUGAAUUAGUGUUAAUGUUAUUUUGGUUAUUUAAUAUCUCUAACUCUGUAUAAAUAUCAAAGCUUAUAUUAUGGUUACUUUUUAAAAUAUGUUUAGCGAAAUUUGAAUUAGUGGCAGUCUUUUUAAAUUUUAUUUCAAAAAUGUGUUCUUUAUAUCUUAUUUUAAAAUUUCUAUUUGUCUUACCUAUGUACAAUUUAUUACAGUUACAAUGAAGUUCAUAUACCAACAUCAGGGGCUACAGGUAGGACUACAGGUUGGGUUACAGGCCAGUCUGCGAUUUGUAUACAUCAGGCCAUUAGAGUGAGGAUUAAAGACUAAAAACUAAAUGAAUAACAACAGUCUAUUUCCUAAAAUGUAUAUCUGUAUACA